AUGGGCGAUUUUAAAGUAGAAAUAGAUGUUCAGUCUUACUUGAAAAUUGUAGAUGGCAGAAGAGUGUACACAAGGGGCAAAACAUGGAAUUUUAUGGUCAGUCGAGGAUUAUCUGUGGUGCGGAUAAAGGAGGUUGUGGAGGAGAGGUACAAGUGCUCUGCUGAUCAGAGAAUGGCCAUUUGGGGAUCCGUAGAUAACACUGUCCCAUUGAUCUCUGAAAUAGAGGUAGCUCAAUUGUUUGAUACAUGUUCUAACACAAAAAUAGUAAGGUUCGGUGUGACCAUUGAGAGCAAAUAG
rnacentral:rRNA from 1 species